rnacentral:lncRNA from 1 species
UAGAUCUCACUCUUAAAUUCUAUCACAAUUUGGAAAGUGUAGCUAAAAUUGUAUCUAUGUGAAAUUUGAAGCAUCAGGGACUUUUGUUUUUAAUUUUGGGUGAAUAGUAGUCUUUGAUUUGUAUUUGUGAAUGGAAAUGAUUUGUAUUUUAUAAUUAGAUCGGGGUUGCUUUGACAAUUUCUUAUAAGUAGAGUUGAUCUUUUUACAUGGUAAAUUAUAUAU